AACGUACGCUGGCGGCACGCCUAACACAUGCAAGUCGAACGAAGUAGCAAUACUUAGUGGCAGACGGGUGAGUAACAUGUAGGUAUCUGCCCUUGGCUGAAAAAUUAACACGAGGAAACUUGUGCUAAUACCGGAUAAGUCUUUACGGAGAAAGCUUUAUGCACCAUUGGAUGAGCCUGCACUUGAUUAGUUUGUUGGUGGGGUAAUGGCCUACCAAGACUGUGAUCAAUAGCUGAUUUGAGAGGAUGAUCAGCCACAUUGGGACUGAGACACGGCCCAAACUCCUACGGGAGGCAGCAGUGGGGAAUCUUGCACAAUGGAGGAAACUCUGAUGCAGCGAUGCCGCGUGAGUGAAGAAGGCCCUUGGGUUGUAAAGCUCUUUCGUCGGGGAAGAAAAUGACUGUACCCGAAUAAGAAGGUCCGGCUAACUUCGUG
rnacentral:rRNA from 1 species